rnacentral:lncRNA from 1 species
CAGAUUAAAUCAAGAUGGAUGGCUGUGAUUAAAAGGCAAAGGGUAUAAAUAAACCCCCCACACCUGACCACAAAAACCCUAGCCGCCAGCCCUCGCCGAAGAAGACGAACCAGACGCCGGAGGAGCCGACCGCCGCCACCCGCCGCCGCACUGGGGAGUUUUUCGAGUGCCAAUCGAGGUAAAUUUCUUACCCCUAGCUCGUUUUUCAAUGC